UACGAAGGGGGCGAGCGUUAUUCGGAAUCACUGGGCGUAAAGCGUGCGUAGGCCGUCUAGCAAGUUGGAAGUGAAAGCCCAGGGCUCAACCCUGGAAUUGCUUUCAAAACUGCAAGACUAGAAUCUCGGAGAGGAUAGCGGAAUUCCCAGUGUAGUAGUGAAAUACGUAGAUAUUGGGAGGAACACCAGUGGCGCAAGCGGCUAUCUGGACGAGUAUUGACGCUGAGGCACGAAAGCGUGGGGAUCAAACAGG
rnacentral:rRNA from 1 species